rnacentral:rRNA from 1 species
AGAAUCAACGCUGGCGGCGUGCCUAACACAUGCAAGUCGAACGAGAAAGUGGAGCAAUCCAUUAGUAAAGUGGCGCACGGGUGAGUAACACGUGACUAACCUACCCUUGAGUGGGGGGAUAACUUCGGGAAACCGAGGCUAAUACCGCAUAAUACCUACGGGUCAAAGGAGCAAUUCGCUUUAGGAGGGGGUCGCGGUCGAUUAGUUAGUUGGCGGGGUAAUGGCCCACCAAGACUGUGAUCGAUAUCCGGCCUGAGAGGGCGCACGGACACACUGGAACUGAAACACGGUCCAGACUCCUACGGGAGGCAGCAGUGGGGAAUCUUGCGCAAUGGGGGAAACCCUGACGCAGCAACGCCGCGUGGAGGAUGAAGUCCCUUGGGACGUAAACUCCUUUCGAUCGGGACGAUAAUGACUGUACCGGAAGAAGAAGCCCGGCUAACUUCGCGCCAGCAGCCGC